GAUCCUGGCUCAGGAUGAACGCUAGCUACAGGCUUAACACAUGCAAGUCGAGGGCAGCAUGUCGGUUGCUUGCAACCGAUGAUGGCGACCGGCGCACGGGUGAGUAACGCGUAUCCAACCUACCCUUGUCCAUCGGAUAACCCGUCGAAAGGCGGCCUAACACGAUAUGCGGUUCACCGCAGGCAUCUAACGUGAACGAAAUGUGAAGGAGAAGGAUGGGGAUGCGUCUGAUUAGCUUGUUGGCGGGGUAACGGCCCACCAAGGCGACGAUCAGUAGGGGUUCUGAGAGGAAGGUCCCCCACAUUGGAACUGAGACACGGUCCAAACUCCUACGGGAGGCAGCAGUGAGGAAUAUUGGUCAAUGGGCGAGAGCCUGAACCAGCCAAGUAGCGUGCAGGACGACGGCCCUAUGGGUUGUAAACUGCUUUUAUAAGGGAAUAAAGUGAGCUACGUGUAGCUUUUGCAUGUACCUUAUGAAUAAGGACCGGCUAAUUCCGUG
rnacentral:rRNA from 1 species